GCCACACCCACUGGCCAAACUCUCCCAAUAUACGGCUCUGGGUUGCCAAGUGUGAGUCAGCGGCAAGGCAUCACGUUUUAGCUCUGUUUUUUUUUAUUCCAAGUCUUCCAGAAAAGAGUUCCAAUUAUGAUGAAUUGCAAUCUUUUGGUGUUUGUUACUGACUUUUCACAGAAUGUGUAUGCUUUUAGAGAGAUUAGUGUGCACUGCUAAGGUGUGGCUGUACAAAUAUUCUUACUUUUUGUCGUUGAAUUUAUAAGUGCUUAAAAUUUUACGCCAAUUUUCUUUUAUUUCCAGGGUCAUUCCCCAUGUCCCAGCGUGCAACAAGGAGGAAUUCCUCUUGUAGCAUGCAUGCUGUAUUGGCUCAACCUUUACAUUGUUGCGAGAAACCUUCAGGUUCACAACAAACAUUUAUGAUUGCUUGACGGCGAGGUAGAAGAGAGCAUUGAGACGGACAGUGCUAACGACGACUACGCCGAUCCCCGGCAGAGUGACGACGAAAACUC
rnacentral:misc_RNA from 1 species